rnacentral:rRNA from 1 species
AGCGAACGCUGGCGGCAGGCUUAACACAUGCAAGUCGAGCGGGCAUCCUUGUGGUGUCCGCGGCAGACGGGCGAGUAACGCGUGGGAACGUGCCCUUCGGUUCGGAAUAACUCAGGGAAACUUGAGCUAAUACCGGAUACGUGCGAGAGCAGAAAGGUUUAUCUGCCGAAGGAUCGGCCCGCGUCUGAUUAGCUAGUUGGUGAGGUUAUGGCUCACCAAGGCGACGAUCAGUAGCUGGUCUGAGAGGAUGAUCAGCCACACUGGGACUGAGACACGGCCCAGACUCCUACGGGAGGCAGCAGUGGGGAAUAUUGGACAAUGGGGGCAACCCUGAUCCAGCCAUGCCGCGUGAGUGAUGACGGCCUUAGGGUUGUAAAGCUCUUUUCUUCGGGACGAUAAUGACGGUACCGGAGGAAUAAGCCCCGGCUAACUUCGUG